rnacentral:rRNA from 1 species
GACAGGAGGGGGCAAGCGUUGCUCGGAAUUACUGGGCGUAAAGGGCGCGUAGGGCGGGAUGGCAAGUCGGUCGUGAAAUCCCUCGGCUCAACCGAGGAACGUCGAUCGAUACUGCUGUUCUUGAGGAUUGCAGAGGAGACUGGAAUUCCCGGUGUAGCGGUGAAAUGUGUAGAGAUCGGGGAGGAACACCGGUGGCGAAGGCGGCGUCCUGGACUGGUACUGACGCGUCAGGAGCGAAAGCGUGGGGAGCCGAUCCGG